rnacentral:tRNA from 2 species
GAGCCGUGGUGAAGACGACUGUUACUUCGCCUUCCACGCGAGAGGUCGCGGGUUCGAAUCCCGCCCGGCGUUC